rnacentral:rRNA from 1 species
GAUGAACGCUGGCGGCGUGCCUAACACAUGCAAGUCGAACGGAGUCCAGCCUUUAAGACCUUCGGGUCAAAGAGGGGAAGACUGAGUGGCGGACGGGUGAGUAACACGUGGGCAACCUGGCUCAUAGAGGGGGAUAACAGAGAGAAAUUUCUGCUAAUACCGCAUAAGCACACACUGCCGCAUGGCAGAGGGUGAAAAGAGAAUCGCUAUGAGAUGGACCCGCGUCUGAUUAGCCAGUUGGCAGGGUAAGAGCCUACCAAAGCGACGAUCAGUAGCCGAACUGAGAGGAUGAACGGGCACAAUGGGACUGAGACACGGCCCAAACUACUACAGGAGGCAGCAGUGGGGGAUAUUGCAAAAUGGGGGGAACCCUGAUGCAGCGACGCCGCGUGAGUGAAGAAGUAUUUCGGUAUGUAAAGCUCUAUCAGCAGGGAAGAUAAUGACAGUACCUGAAGAAGAAGCCCCGGCUAACUACGUG